UCUGGGAAGCUGAGCAUGUGGUCCUGGAA
rnacentral:piRNA from 1 species